AUGACAACCAGGAGGUGGGCUUGGAAGCAGCCAUCCUUUGAAGAAAGCGUAAUAGCUCACUGGUNNN
rnacentral:ncRNA from 1 species